UUUUGAGACAGUAUGGAGGGUGCUCCUCACAAAGCUGCGAAGACGGAGUUUACAGAAUGUUGGAGGACUUCAUGGAAAACGCCUUACAUUAUGCGUCUCGCCUUUUCUGCUGGUAUAGGAGGGCUGCUGUUUGGUUAUGAUACUGGUGUGAUAUCUGGUGCAUUGCUUUAUAUUCGCGAUGAUUUCAAAUCUGUUGGUAAGCGUACUUGGUUGCAAGAAACCAUAGUAAGCAUGGCUGUUGCAGGGGCAAUUUUCGGGGCAGCAUUUGGUGGAUGGUUCAAUGACAAAUAUGGUCGGAGAAAAUCGAUUCUUUUAGCAGAUAUCUUGUUCUUUAUUGGUGCCAUCGUCAUGGCAGUUGCCCCGGCACCUUGGGUGAUAAUUAUUGGAAGAGUACUCGUCGGUUUAGGAGUUGGAAUGGCUUCUAUGACUUCACCUCUUUAUAUAUCAGAAGCUUCCCCUGCUCGGAUUAGAGGAGCUUUAGUUAGCACGAAUGGUCUGCUUAUUACGGGAGGACAGUUUCUAUCUUAUCUUAUCAACUUAGCAUUUACAAGGACCAAAGGAACUUGGCGAUGGAUGCUUGGUGUAGCUAGUAUUCCUGCUCUUGUUCAGUUUAUCCUAAUGCUGUCUCUGCCCGAGUCACCCCGAUGGUUGUAUAGAGCGGACAAGAAAGACGAAGCUAGGGCUAUAUUAGAGAAGAUUUAUCCUGCUCAUGAAGUCGAAGACGAGAUGAAAGCAUUGCAGACUUCCAUUGAAGUAGAGAAGGCUGACAAAGAGUUCCUUGGGGAUGGUGUGUUUUCAAAAGUCAAGAGUGCUUGGAGCAACACUAUUGUUCGUCGGGGUCUCUAUGCUGGUAUUACAGUCCAGGUGGCACAACAAUUUGUCGGAAUCAACACGGUCAUGUACUACAGUCCUACUAUUGUGCAACUGGCUGGAUUUGCUUCUAACAAGACAGCUUUAGCUCUCUCGCUCAUAACGUCUGGUCUCAAUGCUGUUGGCUCCAUUAUCAGUAUGUGUUUUGUCGACAGGUACGGAAGAAGAAGGUUGAUGAUUGUCUCCAUGUUUGGUAUCAUAACAUGCCUAGUGGUAUUGUCCGUGCUCUUCAUGCAAGCUUCUAUACACUCCCCACGAAUCAGUGCUUUCGAAUCCAAUCACUUUGGAUCAAAUUCCACAUGCUCGGCGUUUCUAAAUGCUCCGGGAGCGUCGUCCUGGAACUGUAUG
rnacentral:misc_RNA from 1 species